rnacentral:rRNA from 1 species
AUUGAACGCUGGCGGCAGGCCUAACACAUGCAAGUCGAACGAGUGGCGGACGGGUGAGUAAUGUCUGGGAAACUGCCCGAUGGAGGGGGAUAACUACUGGAAACGGUAGCUAAUACCGCAUACUAUCAGAUGAGCCUAGGUCGGAUUAGCUAGUUGGUGGGGUAAAGGCCUACCACGGCGACGAUCCGUAACUGGUCUGAGAGGAUGAUCAGCCACACGGGAACGGAGACACGGUCCAGACUCCUACGGGAGGCAGCAGUGGGGAAUAUUGGACAAUGGGCGAAAGCCUGAUCCAGCCAUGCCGCGUGUAUGAAGAAGGCCUUCGGGUUGUAAAGUACUUUCAGCGGGGAGGCGUUACCCGCAGAAGAAGCACCGGCUAACUCCGUGCCAGCAGCCGCGGUAAUAC